CUUGUGGGUGUCCAGGCGCCAGAUCGAGACCGUUCGUGUCUCGCUGGUAGCUCAUGGGUGGAACAUUGACAUUGGUGCAGCUGGAACCGGUGGGGUCCUAGUACGUCGUUCGCAAGAACGACUGGAAAGGGUUCGAUCGGGGAGGGUUGCACGUGCACGCUGUUGGGUCCUGAGGGACCGGGCCGGCGCCUUGAUGGUGCUGGGCUGAACCUCUGGACCCUUUCGUCGUUGCCUUUCGGGGUGCGGCGGGGGGUACCGCCCGUACUUUGAGAACUACACAGUGGACGCGAGCAUCUUAGAUUCAGGCCUUCGUGCCUGGAUCACAAAAGAUCUGACUGCAUCUCUUCGGAGAUGUGUAGAUCAUUGGUCAAUCUCGGUACUUCGGUACCGCGAUCGAUUCAUACUCAUGUGAUUUCAAGUUUCUAAGAGCACACGGUGGAUGCCUUGGCAUCUGGAGCCGAAGAAGGACGUAGUAAUCUGCGAUAAGCCUCGGGGAGCUGAUAAACGAGCUGUGAUCCGAGGGUCUCCGAAUGGGGAAACCCCGCUGGGCCCUUUG
rnacentral:misc_RNA from 1 species